ensembl:miRNA
UUAGGUUGGUGCAAACGUAAUUGUGGUUUUUGCCAUUGAAAGUAAUAGCAGAAACAACAAUUACUUUUGCACCAAACUAUUAAAA